rnacentral:lncRNA from 1 species
UACAUCUUCAAGUUAACAAGUAAAACACGCAGACAAACUGACAUCUUUGUUAAUAUCUUAUUUGUUCUGUAUAAAAUUUAUUGUAUACAAGUCUACAUAAACGUUUUAAAAAGUUUACUAAAUGGUUAUUGUUUCAUAAGUGUACAUAUGUAUGCUCGAAGUAUAUAUAGAAUCAGUACAUGAUACACAACAUGCGACAAAUAAAGGGGGGGGGGGGGGGGUAGUAAUGACAGGAAACUAAAUUAAACUAAGGCUUUGAUGAAUGUAAACUUUAAUAAAACUGGAAGUUACAUAAGGGGAACAGGAAAAUAAGAAUAUAUUGCAUCACUUACAACAACCUUUAAAUUGACCAGUGAUUUUUUAUUCAUUACUGACCAGCAACACCGAGAUAAUCCAACGAUUUUUAAGGGUCCAUAUGAAGUGUGGACCUAAAUGUUCUUUAUCUUUAGAUAUAACGCUUAUUCUGUAAAAUCUUCAAUUAACGAUUUUGUAAAAUUCUGUACAUGGUCUACACUAUUAUAUUAAAUAAUUAUUUUAUUUUCCGUUGUUAUUCUUUAUAAUUUUGCAAACUUUUUUAUUCAAUUUUGACAUUCGCCAGUAUUCCUUAUUCUGCAACUCCCUUUGAGAUCUAAUUAUAUGUGACAAUAAAUUAUUGUGCUUCUCUCUCUGAAUUUCGCUUUCUCUCAAGACAUUUGUAGUCUUUGUAGUACAGUGUAUUUUCCAGAAAAUACAUCGUGUAAAAACAUUUCCGAGGAAACCAAAUUAACGGAGGUUGAGACAUAUGACAUAAAAACAGAUGUACAUAUUUAUGUUUGAUAUGUCUACAACCCCCCCCCCCCCCCCCCCCC